rnacentral:rRNA from 1 species
AAGGUUUCCUGCGCAACGUUCAUCGGCGCAGGGUGAGUCGGCCCCUAAGGCGAGGCAGAGAUGCGUAGCUGAUGGGAAACUGGUUAAUAUUCCAGUACCGUCGUACAGUGCGAUGGGGGGACGGAUCGCGGAAGAUCAUCAGGGUGUUGGAUGUCCCUGUUGCUGUAUCGAAGAUGGCGCUUAGGCAAAUCCGGGCGCGUAAAUCAAGGGUAUGGCACGAGCGAGCAUUGCUUGCGAAGUGAUUGGAAGUGGUUC